UCAGUUGUGUUGCAUCUCGCGCGAGUACGUUGUCGUCGAGUGGUGGUUCUUUAUUCUAUGGAGUGGUUCUGAAAGCGCUGCGUUAGGGGCGACUGCAACCAGGCGUUGCGGCAAGUUACGGUGGGAACUUCUGUCCGUGCUGUGUGAUUGCGACGAGGACGACUGCCGCCAGCAGCGGCGUGUCGCCGAUUUCGUCUUUGCCGACAUCGAGCAAGUGCAGCGCCGGAAGUGUUGCGUUUUGCACUGCAUUUUCCUUGUGAUAUGGGAGAUCGCAACGCAGAGACGACCAGAUGCAUACGAAAGACUACCAGCGGAGAGUGACCUGUGCCAUAUUUCUCUUAACCUCUCAGGUAUUCAAGAAAUGGCAACAUCCAGAAGAAGACGCCAUCUUAUCCAGCACGUUAUGGGUACACUCUGGUGGCUCCCGCCCCUGCAUCCUACGACCACCGUGUCCUCACUAUGUUCACUAGGGAGUUCGAAGCCUUUGGCGGCUCCUGCCACUGCGUCCUGCCACCACCGUGUCCUGACUACGUCCACUAGGGAGUUGGCAGCCUUCGUGAUGAUGCCAAGCAGGCUGGAAGCUGACAGAAAGAUCGAGGUUGCCUCGAAAUUUUACCCAAGCCGUGCCACACACUUGGGCCAGGCCUCUUGCAAACGACGUAUAACCAGGCUCAACGCAGGAUGUCGAGUGAGUCCGGAGAUCGAGGCAACCUGCUGUGCAACCAGCGUGCAACCUUUGGUGACCCUCAACAUGUUCCACCUAUUUCACAGCUGCACUCAGCUUCCACCUAUCCAAACCGCAUCACCAGCUGUGGUCACUCAUCGAACCAUGGAUGAAUGUUGGGGUGGAGUGAUUUGAAGAGACAUUUUUUUUGUCUCUUCAAAUCCUUAGCAAAUACUUGUGUUAUUAUAAUUAAUAUGUGUCUUUAGUGCCUAGUUUUUAAUGGUUCCUUUCUAUUAGAAUUCUCGCCAUCGAUUCCUGCUAUUAUAAUGUAUGUCUGUCUUUAUGCACAGUUUUUCAUAGUUCUUUUGUACUUGUCUAUGUAAUUGAUAGGUUCAUACUUCUUGUUAUACAGAAGGCUAAAAUGCAAACUUACGGCAUUUUUUUCUUCCUUUUGAUAAUCUACAGCACUGCAAAGUGUUCAAGAAAUGUAACCCAACGUGGGCUCUGGUGCAGGAAAAAUUUAAGAGCAAUAUAGAGUACUUAUUUCAAACACCCAUUAUUUUUGGAAAAGUAAAGAAUAUAGGAGCACAAAAAGAAAAUAUUAAACUAGAGAAACAUGAGUUCCCCUCAUAAGUCUGAUAAUAAUGUGACUUCCCUUCACUGCAAAGACACCAGUAAUAUACUCGCAUACAAGGUUUGAAACAAGAAAGCUAUGAUGCCCUUGGCAUUUCUCAGUGCCUAUUUGUCACACUGACGAAUGUCAAAGGCAUCGUAGGUUUCAUGUACACAUUGGUUGUGUUACACUUUUGAGUAUUGCAUUUCUCAAACACAAAGGUUUACAGCAGUGCUUUAAAUAGCAAAUGCAUUUCCUAAUUUAUUAGUGCAAGAGGAACAGUACAGAUCAUGUAAAAA